UGAGGAAUAUUGGUCAAUGGGCGAGAGCCUGAACCAGCCAUCCCGCGUGCAGGAAGAAGGCCCUAUGGGUUGUAAACUGCUUUUGCGCAUGAAGAACAUUCCGCUCGUGAGCGGGACUGACGGUAAUGCGUGAAUAAGCACCGGCUAACUCCGUGCCAGCAGCCGCGGUAAUACGGAGGGUGCAAGCGUUAUCCGGAUUUAUUGGGUUUAAAGGGUGCGUAGGCGGCCUUUUAAGUCAGUGGUGAAAACCUGCGGCUCAACCGUAGGCGUGCCAUUGAAACUGAAGGGCUUGAGUAACCAUGAGGCAGGCGGAAUGUGUAGUGUAGCGGUGAAAUGCUUAGAUAUUACACAGAACACCGAUUGCGUAGGCAGCUUGCUAAAGGUUCACUGACGCUGAUGCACGAAAGCGUGGGGAUCGAACA
rnacentral:rRNA from 1 species